AGCGAACGCUGGCGGCAGGCCUAACACAUGCAAGUCGAACGGCAGCACAGCAGUAGCAAUACUGUGGGUGGCGAGUGGCGGACGGGUGAGGAAUACAUCGGGAUCUACCUUUUCGUGGGGGAUAACGUAGGGAAACUUACGCUAAUACCGCAUACGCCCUACGGGGAAAGCGGCGGACCGCAAGGCGUCGCGCGAUGAGAUGAACCGAUGUCCGAUUAGCUAGUUGGCGGGGUAAAGGCCCACCAAGGCGACGAUCGGUAGCUGAUCUGAGAGGAUGAUCAGCCACACUGGAACUGAGACACGGUCCAGACUCCUACGGGAGGCAGCAGUGGGAAUAUUGGACAAUGGGCGCAAGCCUGAUCCAGCCAUGCCGCGUGGGUGAAGAAGGCC
rnacentral:rRNA from 1 species